UACCAGCUCUCCGAGUGGUAGGGAUGAUUAUUGGGCUUAAAGCGUCCGUAGCCGGCUUAGCAAGUUUCCUGUUAAAUUCAGCGACCUAAUCGUUGAGCCGCGGGAAAUACUACUAGGCUAGGAGGCGGGAGAGGUCGACGGUACUUCUGGGGUAGGGGUGAAAUCCUAUAAUCCCGGGAGGACCACCAGUGGCGAAGGCUGUCGACUAGAACGCGCUCGACGGUGAGGGACGAAAGCUGGGGGAGCGAACCGGAUUAGAUACCCGGGUAGUCCCAGCUGUAAACGAUGCGGGCUAGGUGUUGGGGUGGCUACGUGCCACUUCAGUGCCGCAGGGAAGCCAUUAAGCCCGCCGCCUGGGGAGUACGGCCGCAAGGCUGAAACUUAAGGAAUUGGCGGGGGAGCACCACAAGGCGUGAAGCUUGCGGUUC
rnacentral:rRNA from 1 species